AGUCGUAACAAGGUUUCCGUAGGUGAACCUGCGGAAGGAUCAUUAAAGAACGCCCCGUUUUUACAAAUUGGGUUCAAAUGACCCCUAACCAGCCUGUAUACCUUACCCUUUGCUUGUUUUGGUCGGGCCGGCCUUGAGGCGUUGGCUCCGGCUAACUGCGCCCGCCAGAGGACCCAAACUCGUUUGUUUAGUGAUGUCUGAGUACUAUAAAAUAUUUAAAA
rnacentral:misc_RNA from 1 species